GGCCUUUUAGCUUAGCGGGACAAAGCAUCACGGCGAUUUUGGUCCGAAUAUGAGGUAGCAGGUUAAGCUGCCGUCGUAUUUGGACUGCUUUGCGUGAAGACCUGGGUUCAAGUCUCAGAGAGGCUA
rnacentral:tRNA from 1 species